UAGCAUAUCAAUAAGCGGAGGAAGAGAAACUAACAAGGAUUCCCCCAGUAACGGCGAGCGAAGUGGGAACAGCUCGAGCCUGUAAUCUCUGGCAGCUGCUGCCGGCGAAUUGUGGCCGGGAGAAGGCGAACUUGUUGCUCGUUGUGGUGCCAAAGUUGACCUGGAAGGGCACGUCGAAGAGGGUGAGAGCCCCGUGCGUGGCAUCGCGAGGUGCAGCAGUGUUUGUCUUCCGAGAGUCGGGUUGUUUGGGAAUGCAGCCCAAAGACGGUGGUAAACUCCACUUAAAGCUAAAUACCGGCACAAGACCGAUAGCAAACAAGUACCGUGAGGGAAAGGUGAAAAGCACUUUGAAAAGAGAGUCAAAGAGACCGCGAACCCGUUAGGAGGGAAACGAAUGCAGCCAUGAAGGCCACAUUCAGGUUCAGGGCGUCUUGGCUGGACGUGUGGGACUUGGCGAACCCGUGUUCGGACCGCGUCACCUCUCGUUUUGGAAGACUCCUGCAAUCCUGUCUGUAGCCCGCCAACGGUGGCCGAUCCCGGGCGAUGAGUGUCGUGGGGCAGGUGUCUUCCCUGGACCCCCUUGGGGGUGUCGGGAAGGACUUAGAGCCUUCGGCCCGCUGCACCGGGAACGGCGGAGGAGAGUCGCGACGUUUCGCGCGCCGUAGAGCAGGCUCCGAAGGGGCCGGGCCACUUGUGUCCUAGCGUGCUACGCGGCGGGGCACUGCUCGCAGUACCCGUUGACGGUAAGUGCGUUUGGUCGGAAGACGGGCCACGAACUGCGCUGCGGUCGUUGGUGUGUGUAUGGCUCCAUCUGACCCGUCUU
rnacentral:rRNA from 2 species